rnacentral:lncRNA from 1 species
UCACACCCACUGCUUUACCCAAUUUUCCCCUUGGUGCUAUGGUUCGUCUACUAGUACCCUGGCCCGCGAUGUCGCCUCGAUGUGUUCGCAAGAAGAAACUACUAGUGGCAAACUCCUAUGCGUGCUAAUUUUAACUUAAGCGUUAAAGUCAGUGAAAUUUACCGUGCGCUUCCGGAAGGCUUGCCAGCAUGGACUUGUUCGCUGCUGUGCAGGAACACGGCGACAGCUUCUCGUGACAAACACCCUACCCAAGAUUCAUACACAAUUCCGAAGGCUGCUCAAUCCCUGACGAGCGCGUGUGCGUCGCCCUGCACGCAGAAGGACGCUCAAUUCCAAAUUCUAAAGCAAGCAGAAGUAUCUGCAAGCAGGAGCACCCUUACCUGCUUUUGAGAGAAGUUGAACUGCCAGUCUGCCUGCCAUACAAGAGUGGAGGCUGGCGGGCUGCCAGCAACUUAUGCUUGCCUAUAUAGCUUGAACGCUUGCCGUCCGUUGCAACAGCGGAGGUUCGACACGGACGCGUCGAAGUAUAAUUGAUUAGUUGUGGAUAGUUGGAUGAUUAUGGUGCACUGAGUUUCUUCCGGCCCAGGUGCCAUCUCCCGCAGUCUCCCGGCCCCAACCCAGGCCAAUGUAAGUCCGCGGCCCUAAACGUCUGCAUGUGGAUCCCCAUAGUUUCUGAAUUCCACGCAGCAGCCUCACCGUGCACUAAGCAAGGUGAAAACGGGAGUCAGCUCUACAGGCUUCCAGUUUUCCACAGGUUCCGCGCAGGUUCCCACUGUAAUCCACGGGUUUCUUCAAAAUGCGACGCCCGUGACGCCUUCGCGCGGGUACACCUGACGUAUAUCUCGCAAUGCUUGGCCAGAUCGCGAAUGAACGUAGGGAAGGCAGAGACAAUGGCAGCGCCGCAGGCAAGAUGUACAGGGCUAUGGGAUAUGGCCCUGAACGGCAUAUCCAUGGAAGGCCAGCAGGAGCGCGGUACA